GACGAACGCUGGCGGCGUGCUUAACACAUGCAAGUCGAACGGAAAGGCCCUGCUUUUGUGGGGUGCUCGAGUGGCGAACGGGUGAGUAACACGUGUGUAACCUGCCCUUGACUUUGGGAUAACUUCAGGAAACUGGGGCUAAUACCGGAUAGGAGCUCCUGCUGCAUGGUGGGGGUUGGAAAGUUUCGGCGGUUGGGGAUGGACUCGCGGCUUAUCAGCUUGUUGGUGGGGUAGUGGCUUACCAAGGCUUUGACGGGUAGCCGGCCUGAGAGGGGGACCGGCCACAAUGGGACUGAGAGACGGACCAGAAUGCUACGGGAGGCAGCAGGGGGGAAUAUUGCACAAUGGGCGGAAGCCUGAUGCAGCAGCGCCGCGUGCGGGAUGACGGCCUUCGGGUUGUAAACCGCUUUCGACUGUGACGAAGCGCGAGUGACGGUAAUGGGUAAAGAAGCACCGGCUAACUACGUG
rnacentral:rRNA from 1 species